CUUUCUUUUUUUUUUUUAUUUCUAUAUCCAAUAACGAACGAAGCAAAAUAUUUAUUUGUGUGUUACGUUGAGAUUUUUGAAAGGAAUAAAGAUGAGAGGAGGCUUUUGGACGAAUCGAAAUUGAAAAUUCGAUAAAAUAUUGAAAAAAAGAGGACGCUCAAAAAAUGGAAGAGGAAAUUAAUUUUUUUUUUUCCAGAAUAGAGGGGUAUGAAAUGCAAUGAUCUUACGAGUUUUUUACGCUUCUAUCGUUGAGGUAUAAUCACUCGUAAACAAGAGUGCGAUUAAAGGGCAUCAAGAUUUCAUAGGGAGAACGAAGGGUUAUUGAGACGCGAUAAAAUAAAGGAAAUGGGGGUACCUGAUGUGGAACAAGCGAAGCGUCGGCUGCAAGAUAUCUUAAGGAAAGCUCAAAAGCUGGAAAUACCAACGCAAGAGGUUAUAUCUACGAGGACUGCACAGAAGCUAUUAGCAAGAACGAAGAAUGUUGUUGCGUGGACGAUCUGGAUCGGUGUUUUCAUUAUCCUCCUCAGUGGCGUCGUUUACGCACGUUGGCCAACAAGACAGGAAGUCGAGACUGUCAGGACUGUACUUAGGCGAACAUGUUCGCAUUCCGUUUCGGGGGAGUUUUCCGAGCGUGUGGCAGCUCUAUUACAGUCAUCUUCGACGCAAGACGACUGCUAGUUCUCAUAGGGAACUAUCCAAGGCCAUCAUCCCUCUUCCAAACAUGAAACCAUUCGAACGGAGGGAUAAGUUUUCGAGAGAAAACUCAACGAAACACAAACACAUCGUAUAAUCAUAAGACGUAUUAUACUAAUUAUUCUCGUCAAAUUAAUUCGCAAACAAUUAACGCGUUUAUAGGAUAUCGCGUGUAUGUAUCAUUUAAAAUGAACACUUUCGUUUCUCGUAUCGUUUCGUGCAAAAAAAACGAUAAGAGAAAGAACAAUCGUCCGAUUAUUUUCGCACGUUGACUCGCAUCAUCGAAUAUUGAUACACUCGAUUUACUAUGUCCACAGAAAUAGCAAACCGAUUUCCUCGAGUCUACGUCGAAGUUACUAGCGUUACCGCGCAUAAGCCAUAAAUGAUAACACGGAGAAUCGUUAUUAUUAGAAUUCGAUAUCAAUGAUAGCUUGCAUUGAAUCGAUAAAAAGAAAGAAAGAAAGAAAGGAAGGAAGGAAGGAAGGAAGGAAGGAAGAAAGGAAGGAAGAAAAAUGUAAAAGAAAAAAAAAUAUAUAUAUCGAAAGCCGAUUGUGGAGUUUAAGACAGGGAACAAAUUCUUCUUGUUGGAUAAACUAGAAACUCAAUUUGUCAAUUAGACCCUCUCGGACAAAACCGACAGAACUAGACGAAGAGAUUAUUUUUCAAGAAUUAUAUAUACCAACAAUCGCCAUUGCAGAAAUACUGCUUAUCCUUAUCAUUUUAAAAUAACAGUUUCGAUGACUGUUCUUCAUUUUCAUACUAGGAAUUAAGAUCGGUGCAUCUCGCAGCUUUCACAAAACCUUUGAAACAAAAAUGAUGAAAGGAAAAGAAAGGUAGAAAGAGAGAGAAAGUGUCUCGGAAAACUUGACGCUGCUCAUUAAGAAUAGAGAUAAAAAAAAACAGUACAUUUCGUAUACGAGCACAUCUCACGUACAAGAGUCCUGUAGGAAGGAAAAAGGAAACUCUGGAUGGUCGGAAGCAAGAAAAUUUGUAUAUGGGCUUGAGAGGAGAAAUGGCUCGGUGGACAAGAAGAAAAAUCGAGCGUACUUCGAGAAAAGUGUAGUUCUCCGGUAUUGCCACGGCACGUUUGCGUGACUCGACACGCGAGGUACAAGAGGCGAGAGAUGUCAACGAAAGCGCCUAAAACCGUAAGAAAAAGAAGCUUUCUUUUUUAUUCUUUUUAAGCAACACUUUCUCAAACGUUGUUUGCCUUUAUCUUAAGAAAGAGCAAUAAUAUACUUUCCUCUUUCUCUACCAUAUAUACAUAUAUACAUAUGUAACUGUACGUUUUUUAUGUGUGUGAAAUUAUUUUAAUUUUCUUUCUUUUUUCAUUCC